GGCUUGGUUGCGCGUGGUGCGCCUCUGCGUUGUAUUGAAGGUUAGAAACCCGAGUCUGCAGAAGUUGCCUGUUCGAAUCAGGCCCAAGCCA